GACAGAGGGUGCAAACGUUGCUCGGAAUCACUGGGCGUAAAGGGCGUGUAGGCGGAUCGGCAAGUCGGGCGUGAAAUCCCUGGGCUCAACCCAGGAACUGCACUCGAAACUGCCUUUCUUGAGUGCAGGAGAGGGAAGUGGAACUCCGGGAGUAGCGGUGAAAUGCGUAGAGACCCGGAGGAACACCAGUGGCGAAGGCGGCUUCCUGGUCUGCGACUGACGCUGUGGCGCGAAAGCUAGGGGAGCGAACGGG
rnacentral:rRNA from 1 species